AUGCACAACCCCAAUAUCAAUGGUCAGCACAAGGUUAGGAAAAGAUCCUUGGACAUUGAAGAUGAAUUCCUUGACAAAAAAGAGUCUGAGCACUGUGGUAACAAACUUAGAAGAUUAAAAGAACCCGAUCUCAUUUCAAAAGAAAUUCCUUUGUAUAUCAAAGGGUCUCCUGAGACUGAAAAGGAAUUAGGGCAGGCUUCCUCUAUAAAGUCUGAUGCUGAAUGUAGUUCUAAAAAACCUGCAUGUCUGGAUACUGCAGAUAAAUGCCAAGAUACAAAGGACAUAUCUACUAACUACGUAGAAGUACCACCUGUCAAUGACUCUUCUAUUACAAAGCUGGAUAAAGUUUUGGAAAGUCAAUUUUCUAGAGAAAACGAGGGACCGACUCAUAGGAAUUGUGAAGAAAAUAAGCAUAGAAAAAAAGAUAAAUAUAUAUAUGAUUCUAAAAAAACCGACAAAGAGCAUUACCGAAGAAAAAGAGAACACUCUGAUACCGAAGAGAGGGAGAAGCAAAACAGCAAACCAGAUGUUCAUUCCCUCAAGAGGAUGUGCUAUCACAGUGUGGAAACAAAUAAGCAAAGUCGCUAUAAACAGGAGCACUGCAAUGCAAACAAAUACAGAUCUUCCUAUACUGGAAGAAACAGCCCUGAUGUCAGCAGAAACUCAGGGAAAUAUUACAGAUCUAGAAGCAGAGGACGAGAACAAGACAGGAACAGAUAUUACCAUUCCAAAAGAGAGAGAACUUGGAGCAGAGAAAGAUACUAUCAAGAUGAAUCCUGGAGAUGGCAAAAAUGCAGACACUACAACGAUUACUAUUAUUCUCAUGCAAGAAGAGAUAGUCGAGAAAGAAAAUUCUCCCAUUACAAUAAAGAUUUUGACAGAUCGAGUCAAGCUUACAGCAGGUCACAUAAGGAUUAUCAUUACAAAAGCAGGUGGCCUCACAACUCACUCUCUAGAGAAGAGGACCUACGUCACUUUAGCAGCCACAGAACAGACUCACGGCACUGUUCAGUACCUCAGCAGCAGCAAUCUGGAAAAUACUCUCACAAAGGACGUGUAAUUCCACCUGUGAUAACUCGUUCAAAUUUUGAGUACUCUUCCCCAAAAAAUGGAAAACAAAGCGACAGAAAAAGAAAAUAUGAAGGAAGUAGUGAAAGUGAAACAGAAAGGAAAAGCAGAAAGGUAGAGAAAGAGGUUUUGGAUGAUGAAAAGAUGAAAAAGUACAAGAAAGUCAAGAAGAAAAAGAAGUCCAAAGAUAAACAUCGAGAGAAGGAUUACAAGUAA
rnacentral:lncRNA from 1 species